UGUUGAAACACCAGUUUUCAUACUAUCAUCAAAGUUAAGCAACAUUGAGCUUGGUCAGUACCUAGAUGGAUGACUGCUUGGGAAUACCAGGUGUUUCA